GUCAGUUGACCCCUUUAGAAGUUAUUGACCUUUAUAGUCAAUUUUUAACCAUUUUUCGUAAAUCUUAGAAAUCUUUUACAAAAAUCUUCUCCUAUGAAACUACUGGGCCAAAUUAAUCCAAACUUGGCCACAAUCAUCUUUGGGGUAUCUAAUUGAAAAAAAUGUGUCCGGUGACCUGGCCAUCCAACCAAAAUGGCUGCCACGGCUAAAAAUAGAACAUAGGGGUAAAAUGCAGUUUUUGGCUUAUAACUCAAAAACCGAAGCAUUUAGAGAAAAAUCUGACAGGGUUAAAUUGUCUAUCAGGUCAAGAUCUAUCUGCCCUGAUAUUUUCAGACAAAACAGACACCCUGUUGUUGGGUUGCUGCCCCAGA
rnacentral:lncRNA from 1 species